ensembl:lncRNA
GGAAUAGCGAGGGAAGAAAAUUGGUGCUAAAUUCUGAGCACUCCUGCUCAAACCCCUUUGGGGGGGGAGGACAUGGGAAGGAACCGGGAGCAGACAUUCCAGGAAUUCUGACUUAUAACCAAUAGCAGUGGUAGAGAAGCAGGCAGAGGUGCUGCCUCUGACCUGAAAGUACUGCUCGGAGGUGGACAUCUGCUAUGCAGCUCUGAAGUGGAAGGUCCUCGGUGUUCAGGCUGCUCUCCUUCACGUGUCACCUCCUGACACUGGGAGAUAUCCCAAGGCUGAAAAGGAAAGUGAAAGCCCUCUGCCAUGCCCGUUUCCCCAUAGCAAUGCUUGUUCACCUGGAGAGCUUGCACAGAGCAGUGGACUGGGAAGGUAACCUCAUCUCCAGGCAGUGCAGGGAUGCGAAUACCCCUCUGUGCCCCCCCCCGUGCUGCUGCACGGCCCUCCUGCUCCCCAUGCACGGGUCUGGCCCCAUCCCAGCUGCUGGAGGUCUCCUGAGGAUGUGGGAUUUGCCCAGAAGCACAAGAAGACAUUCAUACAGCUACUGGGAGGGGGGUUGUGAAAGCCCAGCACGUUUUUUUUCCCUCUAACAAAUGACCUUUGUCUUUCCUUUUAUUUUCAUUUUCAGGCUCUGGCUUUCCAGCGGUCAAGCGGUUUAAGAAUCUUGGCAGGAUGAAAAAAAAAGCAGGAUUCAUCCCCCUAAUUGCUCUGUCUCUCUGGCCACCACGUCAUCCUGCUUCGGCCCAAGGUCAGUAACUUUCCUAAAUCAUCAUAUCCCAGAAUGCCACGGAGGACGCAUGGAACUCAUGCUGAAACGCACAGCCUUUGCACGAACACCCAUCGCCUCCUCGGCUUUGCCUCUCCACUCGAGAGUCCGUGCAGUUCUUGUUUUGCAGAAAAAGGAAGAACAGCGCUGAUGUAAUGACAGGAUUCUGGGAGCUGGAGAUUUAUGGGGGAAAAGUAAGCAAAUAGCUAGCAGCUCUUGAUAAAGUGGUGAGAAAGCACCUGCGGUGAGCUGCUAUUGCUUUGCCUCUUGAGUACGGCUGAUUGCAUGGGGUCAUACCCACCCGGGGCAAGGAGCAACCCUAAGCCCCCAGCAGCUAGAUGUGCUGCUCUUAAUUAACCCUGCUUAAUUACCAGGUGGGAACACAUCCUCCCCUGCACGCUGGGAGCAGCACAACCAACCUGCAGUUAAACAUUGACGAGUUGCCUCCGCAGUGGAUUUCCAGGAAUCUAUUGAGAUAAGGUCAUCCUUCUGGAUGUGCUAUGGGGCUGAUUUAAGUACCCACUGGGAAAGGUUCUAUUUCAGCCUUCUGUUGCCAUUAAUGGGUCAUCACAACAUAUUCCUAUUGUGCACAUGGGCUGGUAGCCCCAGCUGGGGGGCUGUGUGGCACUGAGUGUGCCAUGUGAAGUGCUGCCCAGUGGGAUUGCCUUCCCAUUGAUUCCUCUCCUUUAAUUGCUCCUUGUGCUCGCAGUGCAAGCCAUGGAAACAGCUCUUAAUCCACCUCCUGCCAAUUCCUUAAUACCUGUGCUUUAUUCCUUCCCAUCGGUGAUUGGAUCAGCAGCUCUUUGGAAGUCGAAGUGGCACAAGUGCUUUGCUUUGGUCUCUCUCACAGGGGGCCGUCAGAAAAGGACGCGAGAGAAAUGAAAUCUGUUAUUCUGGUGACUGCAUCGCCCUACGAGGGGUGAUGGGCAAAGGGAAACCCAGGGACCGCUCCUCUGCUCACCAAUACCGAAUCCCCUAUCUCAGUUCCAAUAAGGUUUAUGUGAUGAAGACCCAACCAGGGCCCAACGUGACAUUAUUCAACCCUCUUUCAGCAGCGGCACCUCUAUUUUCUCACUUGGCGAGGGCUCUGCCUUCUAGCUAAACAAACACUCCAAUGUGGUUAUGUCAGGGAAGGCAUCUUAAACACAAUCAGUAUGAGGAAAUACAUCGGUGUGCUGGGAAUAGACAAGUUCCUGGGGAGCUUAUUCAUUUUAUGGGGCUGCCUUGGGCUAAGAUUUGGGAUGGGGUGAGAUGGGAGCCCAGCUUUUCCCUGUGGCAGAUUGCUCCAAGCAACCCUUUUUUCCUCCUCCAGUAAUUCGUUCCACGUUCUGUCCAAGACUGGAGUUCAAAAUACAAUGAGAGAACACAUCUGUGAAUUUUUCUGCUAUUCACGAAGGUGCGUGAUAAGUACUGAUGGGUGCAUCGAGAUGUAUGCGCUGGUUGGGGACAGGGGUUGGGGCUCUGAUGGGGCUGCAGUGAUCAGGGAUUAAAGCUUCCUUGAGUUCAUCUCAAGGAGAGGUAAUUGCAGAUCCUGCCACAGGUCAGAACAAAAGCCAGGAAGGAUGCUGAGGGUCAGAGUGGGAAAGUGGUUUCCUUCAUGGCUCGUUAGUUAUCUGUCUCAUCUACCCCUUCUUGAGGGCACUUCUCUCACUGCUGAGCAAAGAUUGGCAUGGGCUGUGUGGUUGUGCCCAGAGAAACCAUCUGAAGGUUCUGGAAGGGUUUGGGUUGGCACCUAGUGAUGCUCUACGUCACAGAAUCAGAAUAGUUCAAGUUGGAAGGGACCUAUAAAGGUCAUCUAGUCCAACUCUUCUGCAUUGAACACGGACAUCUACAGCUCGAUCUGGCUGCUCAGACCCCAAUAUCAGCCCACAAUGUGAAUUUGCAGGUGAUCCUGCCCCUCAGAGCUGCGAUCAACCUGUGUCCACAAAUACAGUGGGGGGUGUGAGACACAUUCAGCCUUGGAAUUGUUCCCACAACCAUCCCCAUCACCCGUUCCAGUGCUUUCUUGAACCCCAAUUCAUUGCUUAUCAUCACCAUAGGUACUCAACUUGCCCAACAGCCCCUCCGCCGUCACACGCUGUAUCUCAAGGCCUUCUGGGACUCCAUUUUUGAGCCAAAACUGUGCCCACAAGAGACGUCACCUCCUGCCUGAUGAGCCUUUUCCCCUUUCCUGGCCCUGCGGUGUGCCAGCGGAGCAGGUCAUGGGACAGCCUGCCCCAGACUGCACCCACCGCAUCUCCGUGCGGUCCUUUCUCGCCUCUGAUUCUUUUUUGGAGAGGCCAGAUUUUGACCAUAAAAGGGAAGAAUGGAAUGUUGGGCGACACGCCAUGCCCCGAUUGGCUGAGCACCUACCCGUGAUGGUUUCGGGGGAAAUAACCAGGUCGGAGUCAUUUUCCUCUCCCCCCACCCCGAGCCGAGAACGAAAACAAUGCGACCAAACCGUGUGGUUCACCAUUGAAACCAAGGCAGGACUUUUUGUGUCUGUGCCUCCUAUUGCUCUUGGUUCCACCUGCAUGAAACCGAGCCCUCGCUUCUGGGUGUGCACGGCAGCUCUGUUUCCCAUCCAACAUCUCUGUGGCCGCCACCGGUUGAUGCUAUCUUGGAGAUGAAUGGGAGCGACCUGGUGGCCAUGUUGGCCAGAAACCACAACUGCCUCCAGCCAACCUGGCAGCCCUUCUGUUGGGAGAACCUGAGAUCCUCCUUCUUGUGGUUGUCCAUCCCAUUUCCACAACCAAAACCCGUCAGAACAAAGCGCCUUUGUGCUUGGACAUCCCUCCCACCCAGCUGCCUUGUGACUGCCCUCGUUAGAUCACUUCUGUGGCUAAAAUAGGACUUUACUCUUGUGAGUCAUUUGCCUGAACCUGCCACCAGCACUGACUUACAACCUUUAAUAAAAAAUGAUAAAGAAGCUGAGAGGGUUUCCUGGAAACAUUGUCAGCCUUGAGUUGGGAGCAGAUGCUGGCAGCGAGCAAAGUUCUUUUAAGCCAUAAAGGCAUUUUCCUGUUUAAUGAUUACCCUGAGAAAUCUUGAGGCUGAAUCAGGAUGUUUGUGAUCAGCUUCACCCUUCUGGGAAGGCCGCACCCAGAGAAAUUCUUCUCUCAUUGCCUUCACCCAGUCAGAACGGGGUGGUGGUGUGGGUAACGCUGGCCCUGGAGCCAUAAGCUGUUCCCAGUUGUCACCAAUUUCUUCCUGUUUGCCCUCCAUUUGGGGCAGCUCCGGUGCCAGUCCUACCAGGCUCUGAGCAAGCCCUGGUUGAGAAGAAAUUCUUCUAUUAGCAGUCAUCCCAAGGCAUAGGGUUUAUCCUACAAAAACUCUUCUAGACCUCCUGCUUGCAGGAAUCCUUUUUGCAAGGGAAACGUUCCCAGCGCUGGUUGUUCCAGUGCUCAUGGAAGCCUCCUUGGUACCCAGUGCAAAUCUUCUUCCCUAUUGCUCCUCCACGUCAGCGUUCUCCCUCUUUGUGGGGCAGCACUUUGCAGAUAAGCUCCAGAGACGUUUCACCAUCACCCACCUUUCCAUCAGGCCACUUGCUCUGCCCUCACCCAUGGGUACCAUUGCUCUCCCAUGGCAGCAGUGCCUUGCAUCACUUCACCACCUGCUGCAAUCCCUCUUGCUGGUGCUACCGCAGCGGCGAGCACUGAGACCUAUCGCAGCAUCACUGCUUGUCCCCACAAAACCAGAGGGGAACCAAAGCAUCUUACUCACUGGCAUCGGAGCAGUGCACCCCAUCACCUCCCUCCUGUUGGGCAGCGGUUUGGGAGAGGAGGAAGAAGUGGCUGUGCUCAUUCUGGGGCAGAGAGCUUGUUCCUGGUGUCAUCCUCCACCAUUGUGGGUUACCUGCAAUGCUUUGGUUUCGGGUUUUGGAGAGCCAAAGCCUGGAAGGAGCCUUUUUUGCAAGAUAAGGAUGAAGGUGGCACUCAGAGAGUUGUUAUCUGUGUGGCUCAGGGCUAUGCUGGUGACGAAGCAGCUCUGAAAGCUGCAGCAGGAGCACGGGUAGGGCCAACACAACCAAAGGUUUAUUGCGGUGGUUUGCUGCUGGUUUUGCUACGCAGACCUGAGUCAUCGAGUCCUUGGGUCUGAGCUGUGCUGCUCUACAGUGUGCAUGGCACCAGCUGCUGGAAGCACAGCCUACGUCCCCUGGGCAUUGUGAACGUAGGCUUGUCCUCAUAAUACCCCAUGGGUACAGCUGUAAUGAUGUCCCUGCUGUGAACGCAGAGGUGAGGGGCUGCAUUUGGAGCUCCCGUUGCUCCUGCCUGGGGGUCCCCAGGAUGCUGCUUGCCCUGAUCCUGCACAGGGUGCAAAUGUAGGAGCAAAGCAGGAGCUUUCAGGGGUAACACGGACCUCACAAAGGGUGGCACCCCAUCUCAAAGGGCUGUUUUUCCCUGCCGGGGUGGGGAUGUUGCCCCAGGCACAAGCAAUAGAGCCCAGCAGGCAGCAGGGAGAAGCGCAACCAGCAAAUGAGCAUUGGGAAAAGAAAUAACAUAAUAACAAUAAUAAUUAAAACCCAAGAGCUGUAAGCAGAUGACAGCUCAGCUGGGCCCCGUUCCUUAUUUGCAUAGCCAGGCUCUAUCUGUAUGAGGUGCCUGGCUACAAGAUGUUCCCAUAUUUGCAUGUGGGGCGAAGGGAGGAGAUGUGGCAGUCCCAGGGGUGUCACUGUUGGAUGGCGAUUGCCACCCAGUGGCUGUGCUCAGUGCCACCUCCAGCCCUGCGAGCACCCAAAAAUACAGCGUCACUGCUGCAGGCAUAGGUCUGCUGCUUUUGCUCUCCAUCUGCAAUCUGGGUGCAGGGCUCAGAGCUACAGCUGUAUUUUCGUAUUGACAUCACUGUUGAAGAAUUGCUCCUACUGCCUACAACAAAACUAUUUUUACCCCUACAGCAAGUUCCUCGCCCUUAUUUCCACUAAUUAAGUGAGUCUCACCUUCACAUAAACACCUCCCCAUCAGCUGGUGGUGGUCUCCUUUCAACUCAGCUGCUGCUAAUGAAGCUAAUUAGGAGCAGGGUGCUUUUGUUGCAGCAUUGGCUGCUGCCUCAGUGCUUGUGUGCUUUGUAGGU